rnacentral:rRNA from 1 species
CAUGUCCUUUUGAUUAUAAUUUAAGGUCUAAUCUGCUCAAUGAAGAUUUAAAUAGCUGCAGUAUUUUGACUGUACAAAGGUAGCGUGAUAAUUAGUUUUUUAAUUGAAAACUUGUAUGAAUGAUUGGACAAGAAAACUUCUGUCUCUUUCUAAAUUUUUAUGAAUUUAAUUUUUAAGUUAAAAAGCUUAAAUAUGUAUAAAAGACGAGAAGACCCUAUAGAGUUUAAUUUUUUCUUUAUAUUUAGAAUUAUUUAACGGAGAAAAAAAUUGGUUGGGGUGACUAAAAAAUUUAAUAAACUUUUUUAAUUUAAAUCAUUGAUUUAUGAAUGUAAAAUCUAAUAUUUUAAUUUUAAAUUAAGUUACCUUAGGGAUAACAGAGUAAUUUCUUUUUAGAGCUCUUAUCAAAUAAGAAGAUUGCUACCUCGAUGUUGGAUUAAAAUUAAAUUUAGGUGUAGAAGCUUAAAUUUUAAGUCUGUUCGACUUUUAAAAUUUUACAUGAUCUGAGU